GAAUCUUGGACAAUGGGGGCAACCCUGAUCCAGCGACGCCGCGUGGGUGAUGAAGGCCUUCGGGUUGUAAAGCCCUUUCGACGGGGACGAUGAUGACGGUACCCGGCGAAGAGGCACCGGCUAACUCCGUUCCAGCAGCCGCGGUAAGACGGAGGGUGCUAGCGUUGUUCGGAAUCACUGGGCGUAAAGGGCGCGUAGGCGGCUUUGGCAGUCGGCUCGUGAAAGCCCGGGGCUCAACCCCGGAGGUGCGGCCGAUACACCGAGGCUUGAGGCCGGAAGAGGAGGGUGGAAUACCCAGUGUAGAGGUGAAAUUCGUAGAUAUUGGGUGGAACACCGGUGGCGAAAGCGGCUCUCUGGUCCGGUCCUGACGCUGAGGCGCGAAAGCGUGGGGAGCAAACAGG
rnacentral:rRNA from 1 species